rnacentral:rRNA from 1 species
UACGAAGGGGGCUAGCGUUGUUCGGAAUUACUGGGCGUAAAGGGUGCGUAGGCGGUGCUCUAAGUCGGAUGUGAAAACUCUGGGCUCAACCCAGAGCCUGCAUCCGAAACUGGAGUGCUAGAGUUCUGGAGGGGGUAGCGGAAUUCCUGGUGUAGCGGUGAAAUGCGUAGAUAUCAGGAGGAACACCGGUGGCGAAGGCGGCUACCUGGACAGAAACUGACGCUGAGGCACGAAAGCUAGGGGAGCAAACAGG